CAAAAGAUUCUGAUCCCACAGGGAGAAUAGUAUAGUACUAUAGUCAACCAUAAGGUGAAUUUCUUCACUUGCAGAAACAAUAUCAUAUGAAUGCUGGAAUCAAUGGAAUCAUCCACCAGUGGGAAGUUGGAGUUCCAAGUUUGCUAAAUCUGAAGCCCGAGAUCUAUAAUAGUAUUUAGUUAACAGACCAUAUUAUAAAAAUUAAAAUAUAACUUCAAAAAAUAUGCAGUUA